UAUGUACUCCCUCCGUCCUAAAAUUAUUGUCUUAAAUUUGUCUAAAUACGGAUGUAUCAAGUUACAUUUUAGUAUUAGGUACAUCCGUAUCUAGACAAAUCUAAGACAAGAAUUUUGAGACGGAGGGAGUAUGUA
rnacentral:pre_miRNA from 1 species